rnacentral:rRNA from 1 species
UACGGAGGGGGCUAGCGUUGUUCGGAAUCACUGGGCGUAAAGCGUAUGUAGGCGGAUCGUUAAGUCGGGGGUGAAAUCCCGAGGCUCAACCUCGGAACUGCCUUCGAUACUGGCGAUCUUCGAGUCCGGGAGAGGUGAGUGGAACUCCGAGUGUAGAGGUGAAAUUCGUAGAUAUUCGGAAGAACACCAGUGGCGAAGGCGGCUCACUGGCCCGGUACUGACGCUGAUAUACGAAAGCGUGGGGAGCAAACAGG